UGUCUACUUCCUUGACGGCCACCUCCGCACCGGAGUGGCGAUGGGUUGACCUCCACACCACCGCGAACGACCCUUUUCCGAUUCUGGGCCCCAAUAUGUAAUUCCCUAUUACCCGCCGGCACUCUCCCAAAUCCAUAUCAUCCCCCAACCCUCCUCCCCCUCCCCCCUCCCCAACCCUCUUCCUUUUUCUUUUUUUUUAUAACUAUUUAGGAGUUUUCAAUUGUUGAUGUGCUGCUCUGCUCCUCGUCGCCUUCGUCCGCCCUUUACUAAUAGUAUUUAUUUUCGGAUGACGAUGAUGAUGGCAUUAAUUCUACUACAAGCGUGACUUUGAUUGGUUUUCCGGGAGGUGGGAUCGGAAUCGGACCACGGUGGAGAUUUUUGCGAGGAAACGACGCCUAUAACAACACCAAUCCAUAGAGAUUUGCAAGGCUUGGACUAAGGCCCCGAUUGUCACCAGUGUUUUUUUUUAAUUUUUUUUUGCUUAAAAUAAAUAAAAAAAUUAAUUAGAGUUGAUUUUCUUACUUUUCUGUUUUUGCUUUUUUACUUAAUUUUAGGUAAAAUAAAACUACAAAAACAAAAAAAUCAAAAAAACUUAACAUUUUUCAUAAUAAACUUAAAAAAAACUUAGUUUUUAAGUAUUACUAAACAGAGCCUAAGCCUCCGUUUAUACCAAUUUUUUUUUCUAGUUUUUUUAAAGUUUAUAUCAAAAGUUCAUUAAAUUAGUUUAUUUAUUUAUUUGUAACUGAAAUAAAAUUAAAAGAAAAAUAAUAUUUUUAAUAAUAAACUUAAAAAAAAAAUUGAUUUUUAUGAAUUACCAAACCGAACCUAAAUAUAAGACACAUCAAAGUCUUACAACCAGCGUGGGCCUAUUCCCGUUAUAGGCCCGAUUGGAAGGAACUAACCAUUCGACUUAACUCACCUUUUCUCCCUUUAGUUUUUUUGUAGAAUCACUUUGUCCUCUCUUCAAAACUCUCACUUGUAUUUUGCACCCUCAUCAUGUAAAGCUCGUCAUGUGCCCCUUUAAAUUACAAGUUACAUUUUGUACCGUUAUUUUUUACUAAUUACACAUUGCACCACUAUUUUGCAAGAUUAGGAUUAGAGUAACAAGUUACUUUUCAAAAUUAGGAUUAAUUACACUAACACCCUAUACCUCUGAUAUCACUCCAUUCGCUCUAUUCAUUAAAAUCACACUGUGCUCCAUUCAAAACAUUUUGUAACACUAGACCUUUCAUUAGUCAACUACUUUGCUAAUUGAAUGAAAAAUGGUGAUAUACACAAGUACAUGGAAUUAAACUGGCCAUCUUUUAACCUGUUUCCUGUUUCCUCUCUCCCUUUUUCCUCUUCCUCCUCCUACUCACAACCAAACCACUUAUCAAAUACUUCACCACAUUCUCUCUUGUUCCCCUCAACGCCACCAUAGUCCCCCACUACAUGAUACAAGAAAUGUAUCAUGUGGUAAAAGAAAAAAACCCCACUCAUCCCCCAACACCAUCUCCUAUACUACCAUUAGCCAACACCUCUUAAUGUUGCUGAUAUUCCCUAGUAAACCUUUCACUAUCCCAAAAUAUCUAUCUUUGAAUAAUCAUAAAUUCUAAAGAGUACAAGCUACUAAUGAACCAUCAGAAUCACCCAAUAGAGCCCAACCCUUUGCCAACUACCCAAUUGUGACAAUCCCAUCACAAACAUUACCCACUAUUAAUUAAGCAGUAGCAUAAUAAUUGAUUACUCCCAUGCCUAUCAAUUUCCAAGAAAACCUAAAGAAAAGAAUGCAUAUGGUUGUUAAAACUUACUACAAUUACAACCACACAAUGACACCCCAAUUGUUGAUCUUUGCACAUGAUUAGCCAUCACAACUCCUCUCCUCUCUAUCUAUCUCUUCCCCCCACCCCACUCCCCUCACCCAAAAUAAUAAUAAUAAUAAUAAUAAAAAUAAAUAAAAUUAAACAAAAUGGACCCAGCAGGCUAUUUGGCCAUAGGCUGCACCCCCCAUUUGUACGCAUCAUUUCCACUUUUACAUUGUUAUUGAUGAACUAUGUUUGUUUGUUUUAUCUUCUUAUCAUCUUAAUUAUAUUUUGAAAAAAAAGGAGUGUAGUUUGGGUCAUUUUUCGCGCCUUCAUAUCCAUUAUUCUGUAUAUAUUUUUAUUUUUUUGCAAAUACAAAUGUUUAGAGGCAGUGAAUACCAAACAUUCAAAAAAAUAUUUGAAAUUUGAAUAAUAAAUAUCUAAUUUUCUUUUUCAUCAUUUUCGUAAGUUCAGUUUGAAUCGACCUUGAGUGUAUAAAGUUGUGUGAGGAAAAAAAAGUGGCAUUGUGUAGCUAUUUAUUUUAUCUUCUUUUUGUUCAGCAAAUCCCUCACGAAUCCAUAAUCUAUAAAUUAGGAACAAUAACUUACUUUAUAAAUAAUUUUACUAUUUGUGUUUUCAAUAAAUUAGGAACUGAAAAUUUUGUUGAUAAAUUAGGAACUAAAAACAAAAUUUGAGCAGAGCAGUUAAUAGCUAAUCUGGAGUAAUUAACUCAUUGACAGGUUUAUUAACCAAUGUCUUUUAGGCAUUCUUUAACAAAACCUAAUUAGAGAUCAUCUACAACAGCAUCUUUCAUUUUGCCUAUUUAUUUUAGUAAAAUUUUACAUUUCUUAGUUCUUCUUUUUUUACCUCCUUCAACAUUCUAAAUAAAUAAACUACCUAAUAAAACACCACCUACAUUUUUCUCUCUAAUCUCUGUCUUUUGAAUACAAAAAAAGAGGAGUAAAGAGUGAAUAAUACCUUCCGAAUAAUAAGGUUGUUGGAAUAACUUUUUUUCUUUUUUCACACCUUAAUAUGUCUAAACUAGCUCUUUGAAGAGACUACUAGUGAUGCCCUUGGUAGCCUAAUUUGAUACGCCUUUCUCGAGAAAAAAUUUUUGGCCAAGACAACUGAUUUGUAGUUUUACUUGCGUAUUCAUUCUACUACUAGUACUCGUAUUAUUGGCAAACUUGAACUUAAAUUGCGAUGGCCAUCUGUCUUCUCUUCAUCUCCUUCGUUAUCCCGAGGCUCAACCAAUUGGCUGUCGUCUCUCAUUCUUUCCAACAACAGCAACCUUCAAAUGAGUGCAGUGAUAAAUGCGGGAGCUGUCAAAUACCAUUUCCGUUUUACGUGAACACAUCUUGUGGGUCAAAUACUCCUAUAUGGGAUGCCUUCUGCCUCUCUUGCCAAAACCUCACUUUUUCUCAACAUUGCCUCCCAAACCUAUCCAAUACUCCAAUUCUUUCCAGAUGGAGUCUUAGUCGACUUUCCAAAUACUACUACUACAACUUCCUCCUCCACAUGGGGUGGUGGUCGUCGUCCUUACAAUGACUUGAAUGCCUGCUUUGAGGGAAAUGACUACUUUGCGUAAGAUAGACCGAAAACGUGCGGCCUUAAUGACUGUGAGGAUUCCUCCUUGUGCAAAGAAGAUGCAUGUUCAUGCCUGCUCAUGGUUGUGAUAUUCAUGGCUACCCUGCUUGACCCUGUAUGUUGACUUUGUUGGCUAAAUUCUUUUGGGCUCAGCCAAUGCUAAUUAUAGGCCCAAGCUUAGACCAAGCCCAAAGGAGUUCAUUGUUCAAAGUUGCAACUUCUUCUCUUGUUGCUUGCCGACAGAGGAAGGUAGUCGGCCGAAAGAGGAAGAAGCCAUUUGUCAAAACAAUGGUGGCACCUCCCCUCCCAAGUUCAAGCUUGGUGAGGUCUUGGCACUUAGGUAAUCUGUCCCUAGCCUUCUCUAUAUAAAGCUGGCGAUGAUAGAGUUAAAAUGGCAGGGCAAGAAAGCAGAGAAAAACCAGAGAGGGAGAAGGGAAGAGGAGUUUAAGAGAAUUCUCUCAAAUUGUAUUGUAUUGUUUCUCUCCAAUAAUAGAAUUGCUGCAACCGAGGACGUAGGCCACAUUGCCGAACCUCGUAAAUGUUGUUUGUGUUGGAUUGUUAGGUGUUAUCAGAAUUUGUUAGUCCUCAAACCAAUUGGUAUCAGAGCCAAAAUCGGCAUUUCGGACCUCUGUAUAAAAGUGGUCGAAAUUGAUCUGAUCGCACCACUUGUUCGUCUCUCGAGACGAAACUCCAGCAUAAAACGGCGUCGAAAUCGGGCUCACGAACGGCUCACACGGAGUUGGUGAAGUCGGUGACGCAGGCUGUUUCGCGCUCUGUAAAUUUGGGAGACGAACUGUUAUUGGGAAAAUUACAUUUUCAACCCCGCAGUUUCUGUUAUUUAUCUUUGAGUCCUUAACGUUUGAUAAUUACAGUUUGGCCUUGUAUUUUCUAUAAAAUUACAGUUUGGUCCUGUAUUUUCUAGGAAUUACAGUUUGUCCCUAAAGUUUAAAAUUACAACUUAGUCCUGUAUAUUUGAAAUUGUAUUUAAGUCCAUGAAAAUUACUAAAAAUUUCAGAUUGGUCCCCAGGAGUUCUAAUCUUUGACAAAAUUGGACCCACAAGUUUCUGAUUGUGACAGAUUGGGCCCCAAAAGCUUUUGAUUUUUCAGUUAAGCCCUUCUUAAGUUUUUUCAGCAUUCCGGACUCACCUGUGUGGUCAAAAAUUGCAUAUUUUUGAUCCUAUUACAUUUAGGUGAGUUAGUUGUGUUAGAUGAAGAAGAUAAAAAUCACUAGCACUUCCGGUAGCUCUGGGCAUAAAACUACAAUUGUCCCCAUGCCAAUUUGAAGUUGAAAAAUUUGAUGGGACAAAUAACUUUGGCAUGUGGUAAUGCCGAGUUUUGGAUGUUCCUAAUUCACCAGAAGUACUUUUGUUAUGAAGGAGCCCUCAGCAAAGAGUUGUGGGACAACUCGAGAACAAUACAAGACCCAAAAGCGUUGAGAACGCUCUAUCUGAAGAAGAAACUCUUCCGUUCCAUUCAAGCAAGGUACGUCAAUGCAUGAGCUUUAAUGCAUUCAAUAAAAUUUUGGCUGAUUUGGGCAAAAUUUAGACUAGAAAUUGACAAUGAAGAUAAAGUUCUUUUAUUGUUAAAAUUCAUUGCCUGAUCGUAUGAGCAUUUGACUACUACUACCUUUUGCUGUAUGGUAAAAGAUGAAUUAAUUUUAAAAAAACGAGUUUCAAAUGCCUUUGACAACAACGAGGUGAUAAAGAAGGAUCAAGACGCCUCACCGGAUCAGUUCAAAUGCAUUGACAGCAAGGGGUGGAGAGUAACCCGAAAAUCUGGAGGGGGUGGGAAGUCAUCGCUCAAAAUCAAGGGGAAAAAUCAGCCAGAGACGGCAGCUUGCAAAGGAUGAGUUGUGCCUCCUAUUGUCUAGAAAGGUCACUGGAGAAAAGAUUGCCCCAAAUAUGGAAUCAAAGAACGCAAGCGAACAUAGCUCAUGAAUGCAGUCGAAAGAUGGACACUUCAUUUACUGUUUUCUUUGUCUGCUAUCCAUUCUACAAUGGAUUUUUAAGAUUCUGGUUGUUCCUAUCAUAUGUGUCCCCUCAUCGGGACUUGGUUCUCGAGCUUGAAGAGCUCGAUGGAGGAGUGUUUCAACAUGGGAAUGACAAAGCUUGGCAAACGAUGGGAAUUGGCACAAUCAGAUUGAAGAUGUUUUCAGUGGAACCGUCACUGUUCUUACUGAUGUUCGCUAGUAACCAAUUGAAGAAAAUCUAAAAUUUCAUUGGGAGAUUUUUUGAUUCAAAAGGGUACAAGAUCUAUCUUAGAAGGUGGAGCCUGAAGGUGUUCGUGGUUCUUUUGUUAUUUUGAAGGGGUCACUCGUAAGGAAAUCUCUACUUCCUCGUGGGAGUACUGUCACAGGGAGAGCUGCUGUCCCUCCAACAGUUCAGACGAAUCAGACACUUCCAGAUUGGCAUAAUUCGAUUGGGGCAUACUGGAGAAAAGCUUUACAAACUUUGGUACUUCAGGAGUUUCUGAAAGGAGCUUAAGACCGAAAAAAUGAUUCUGUGAGUAUUGUGUGCGUGGCAAGCAGACCAAGGGUUAAGUUUGGCCAACAUUCUCAGAUUGAAGGCAUUUUUGAUUUGUUUCAUCCGAUGGUCUAGGGGCCUUCUAAAAAUGCAUCUUUGGGAGGCUCACAAUCUAUUUUGUAACCUUUCGUUAUGACUUUUCCAGAAGAGUUGGACAUAAACCGAUGCGUCACAAGGAUGCAGUCCUUGAAUCUUCUUGAAAUGGAAGAAGAUGAUCGAAAUCCAUACUGGUAGAAAAAAAAUCAAGAAUCUCAGAUCUGAUAAUGGUGGAGAAUACAGGUCAUAUCCUUUCUUCGAUGUUUGUUCCAAAGAAGGGAUUGUGAGACACUUACUUUAGGGGCACGCCGCAACAGAAUGGAGUUGCAGAAAGGAUGAACCGCAACCUUAGUAGAUAAGUUUCGAUGUAUGAUAUGGCAUGCUGGUUUUGAGCCAAAGCAUUUUGGGCUGAAGCAAUAACUAUGCCGCCCACCUUAUCAACAGACUUCCUCUUCCUCCACAGCUAUUGAAGGCAAAACUCCUAUGGAGGUCUGGGUCAGAAAAUGUGCUACUGUUAUGAUAGUCUGGGCACAUAUUUGGAUGUCCUGCAACUUUCCAUGUAAAGGAAGAUAAGUUUGGAUCCCAGAGCCAAGAAGCUAUCUUUGUAGGUUUUAGCACUGGAUAAAAUGAUACAAACUAUUGUGUCCCGAAAUGAAGAAAAUUAUUAACAUCCGGAUGUUACAAAUUUGUGAGUUCCCUGUGAUGCUAAAGAAUUCUGUAGAAUAAAAUCUGAGUCCAACAUCCACCCAUCAGGUGGGAGCUUGUGGGUCCAAUAGUGCCGACUAAAACUGUUCAGAGACAGUUGAUAUUCCUGACGAGGAUCUGCUGAUAUCGACACACACCAGAUCUGAAAGAGGCGCAAUCUUCACACACCACAGACAAUUCAUCACGACGAGUAGGCCACAACGAGGUGAUUCGUAUGACUGCUCGAUAUACUGAUACUGUGGCAUAUGCACUUCCCAGUGAUUGAGGGAGUCCCAUGUAAUUACAAAGAUGCUUUUUUAGGGACUUAACAUCCAAAUGGAAGAGGGCCAUGUAUCAAGAAAUGAAGUCGCUUCAUACAAGAAUCAAAAAACUUGGGGAUUGGUGCCGCCGCUGCCUAAAGGAAAGAAGCGAUCGGUUUGCAAGGGAUAUAUGCAAGAGGAAGAUACUCAGGAGUCAGAUUCAAAGCUAGAUUGGUGGCUAAAGGCUUACUGCACAGAAGGAAGGAUAUACUACAACAGGUAUUUUCUCCUGUUGUGUAAGCAUUUUGUCUAUUCACAUUCUGCUAGCUUUGGUUCUCAAAUUUGUCUUUAGUAAGCUCAAGCGAAUGUCAAAACCGCUUUUCUACAUGGGAUUUGGAAGAAGAAUUUACAUGUCCACCAGCCAGAUGGUUUUCAUGUACCUAGAAAAGACCAUUUGGCUGUGUCGUUAAAGAAGUCUCUAUAUGGGUUUGAAGCAAAGUCUCCAGAAGUGGUAUAAAAGGUUUGAUUUGUUCAUGACGAGCAUGGGUAUACACGGAGUCAGUUUGAUCAUUGGUAUAUUUUUUCGCAAACUCCAAGAUGGUUUCCAUGAUUUAUUUGUCUUAUAUGUGGAUGAUAAGUUAAUUGCAUCUAAGAGCAAGGUGGAGAUUGACCGAUUGAAAGCUCAACUCAGUCCGGAAUUUUUGAAAUGAAUGAGCUUUGGCGCGCCAGAAAAUUUGGGCAUGGAGAUAUAAAGACCGAGUGAAAGGUAACAGUUUUUUGGUUGACCUCAAUCUCAAUUUCUGAAAAAGGUUUUACAGAGAUUUUAGAUUGAUAGUUCAACUAAACUGUUAGUACACAUUGUUGGCCUCUCACUUCAGAUUAAGUGCUUUCUAUGUCUCCUCACACAGAAGAUGAGCGAAAGCAUAUGGAGAAUAUUCCUUAUUCUUUAUGCUGUUGGUGCCUUGAUGUAUGCUGGUUUGCACAAGGCCAGAUAUUUCACAUGCUGUUAGCUGGUCAGCAGGUAUAUGCACACCCAGAAAAAGUUCAUGGCGGCACGUUGAAAAUAGAUUUUAACGAUAUAUUCACGGUACAGUCAAUGUUUUGUUUGCAAUUCAGAAGGGACUACAAUUCAAGUCAGUAUUCAAUUUGGGUAUGUUGAUUCAGACUUGCCGAGAUCUUGACAAUCGAAGAUCCACCACUGGUUUUGUGUUCACUAUGGUUGUGGACCAGUAAUGUUGGGCGAUCUACUCUUCAGUCCUACAUUUGCUUUGUCUACUACUGAGGUAUAGUACCUGGCAUGACAGAAGCCUUCAAGGAAGCUAUCUGGCUUCAUGGUUGAUGAAAUGAUUUUUGAUAAAUUGAUCAGGAGCAUGUUGAUGUCUACUGCGACAGUUAAGAGUGUCGAUUUUUUUGGCUAAAAACCAGUUUCAUCAUUACCUUCCCUCCCCACCAACCCUUGAUGUUUUCGGUUUCAUUUUAUUCGAGAAUUCUGAAUGAAGGAGAUGUACUUGCUCUGAGAAGAAUCAGCACCAAAGACAAUCUGCUUAUAUGUUGCAAAGGUCGUAUCUGGAAUCAAGUUUAAACAUUGUGUGGACUUGAUCAAUAUUUUGAGCACAUUGGCCAAACGGCGCCAUUGGUGGUCAGCAUCACUCAGUUGGGGAGAAGUUUCGCCAAGGUGGAGAUUGUUGAUUUGUUGGCUAAAUUCUUUUGGGCUCAGCCCAAUGCUAAGUCUAGGCCCAAGCUUUAGGCCAAGCCCAUAGAGAGCCAUUUUCCCAAAGUUGGCACUCAAAGCCUUCUUUCUCUUGUUUUGCUGCCGGAGAGAGGAAUAGUCGCCGCAAGGGAAGAAGCCAUUUGUCACAAUGUGGCACCUCCCCUCCCAAGUCAAGCUUAGGUGAGGUCAUUGUCUUAGGUAUCUGUCCCUAGCCUUCUCUAUAUAAUCUGCGAUGAUAAGUAAAUGGCAUGCAGAAAGGCAGAGAAAAAUCAGAGAGGGUAGAAGGGCAGAGAGUUUAAGAGAAUUCUCUCAAUUGUAUUUGUAUUGUUCCUCUCCAUAUAAUAGAAUUGCUGCCACCCUAUGAUUAGGCAACAAUUGCCGACCUCGUAAAUUGUGUGUUUGUGUUGGAUUUGUUAUGUAUGUUAUCAUAAUUUGGUUAUUCCUCCAACAGUUAUACCCUCUCUAUGGCAGCUCUUGGUGGCCAUGGGAGAUGGCUGCUCUGUUUUUUAUACCAUUUGGUUUACAGGGGAUUCUUCUUUUGGGUUGGACUGAUUGGGCGUCAUAAUUUAUCUAUUACAGCAGCGUGGUGCAAGUGUUAAAAAAAAAUCUAAAUCAGAAACUUGUGAUUUGAGGCGUCAAUGGACACUUUCCUUAAAUGUUAUUUGUCCCCCACUAAUGUUUACUUACUGCAUCUUUAUAGGCAAAACACUUUCAGGAUGCAACAAAGACUCUAAAAUCUGCAAACAGCACUUCUACAAAUUUUUCCUUCAGAAAAAUUCUCUAUACUAAAGUUGUAAGACUAACACUUAAAGUAAAUUAAAAUAAUACUUAAUUCGUUUGUUCACCCUUAUAAUAGAAACUGAAAGGGUACAAAAGUGCCUUUUUCAAUUUAAUAUCCAAAACAUGUGUCUAAUUCAUUUCAACGAACAGUCAUGACUGUUUAAUUAAAUUUUAAACAGUUAUGAUAGUUAGAAAUUAAUAAACAAUUAAAAAUAAAAAAAUAUAACGCAGCAUUUUAAUUAAUUCCACACGCGCCAGUGCCACAUGUCCAAGUACCAAGUGCGCCACAAAAGCGCCACUAAUGCGCCACAUUGCGCUACCCGACUCGCUCGCGAGACGUGCGCGUGUGCAAUGCCAACACUGGGAAACUACCAUAACACUUUUUUCUAUUUCACAUAGUGAUGUUGCAAACUUUAUAAGCCUAACAAUUUUUUAUAAUUUUUAAUGUGGGAACAAGCCACCAAACUACCCUUUACCUUUACACUACAGCUAUAUCUUACAAUCCCCCACUAGCUUGUAUGGUUAAGUAUUUGUUACCUACUAUAGAACCAUGCUAAUAUGUAUCUUUCGACUUAAACAUUUACUUAGUGUAAGCAUUUCAAAGUUUUAAUCGAUCAGUGGUGGCCUCAACUUUAACAA
rnacentral:lncRNA from 1 species